GACGAACGCUGGCGGCGUGCUUAACACAUGCAAGUCGAGCGGUAAGGCCCUUUCGGGGGUACACGAGCGGCGAACGGGUGAGUAACACGUGGGUGACCUGCCCUUAGCUCUGGGAUAAGCCUGGGAAACUGGGUCUAAUACCGGAUAUGACUCCAUGACGCAUGUUGUGGGGUGGAAAGCCUUGUGCGGCUAGGGAUGGGCCCGCGGCCUAUCAGCUUGUUGGUGGGGUGAUGGCCACCAAGGCGACGACGGGUAGCCGGCCUGAGAGGGCGACCGGCCACACUGGGACUGAGACACGGCCCAGACUCCUACGGGAGGCAGCAGUGGGGAAUCUUGCGCAAUGGGCGAAAGCCUGACGCAGCGACGCCGCGGUGGGGAGUGGCGGCC
rnacentral:rRNA from 1 species